rnacentral:rRNA from 1 species
AGAGUUUGAUCCUGGCUCAGGAUGAACGCUGGCGGCGUGCUUAACACAUGCAAGUCGAACGAAGCACUUUAUUUGAUUUCUUCGGAAUGAAGAUUUUGUGACUGAGUGGCGGACGGGUGAGUAACGCGUGGGUAACCUGCCUCAUACAGGGGGAUAACAGUUGGAAACGACUGCUAAUACCGCAUAAGCGCACAGGAUCGCAUGGUCCGGUGUGAAAAACUCCGGUGGUAUGAGAUGGACCCGCGUCUGAUUAGCCAGUUGGCAGGGUAACGGCCUACCAAAGCGACGAUCAGUAGCCGACCUGAGAGGGUGACCGGCCACAUUGGGACUGAGACACGGCCCAAACUCCUACGGGAGGCAGCAGUGGGGAAUAUUGCACAAUGGGGGAAACCCUGAUGCAGCGACGCCGCGUGAGCGAAGAAGUAUUUCGGUAUGUAAAGCUCUAUCAGCAGGGAAGAAAAUGACGGUACCUGACUAAGAAGCACCGGCUAAAUACGUGCCAGCAGCCGCGGUAAUACGUAUGGUGCAAGCGUUAUCCGGAUUUACUGGGUGUAAAGGGAGCGCAGGCGGUGCGGCAAGUCUGAUGUGAAAGCCCGGGGCUCAACCCCGGUACUGCAUUGGAAACUGUCGUACUAGAGUGUCGGAGGGGUAAGUGGAAUUCCUAGUGUAGCGGUGAAAUGCGUAGAUAUUAGGAGGAACACCAGUGGCGAAGGCGGCUUACUGGACGAUAACUGACGCUGAGGCUCGAAAGCGUGGGGAGCAAACAGGAUUAGAUACCCUGGUAGUCCACGCCGUAAACG